rnacentral:rRNA from 2 species
GACGAACGCUGGCGGCGUGCUUAACACAUGCAGGUCGAACGUUAAGCCCCUUUCGGGGGUACACGAGUGGCGAACGGGUGAGUAACACGUGAGUAACCUGCCCUCAUCUCUGGGAUAACAGUCGGAAACGGUUGCUAAUACUGGAUAUGAGCUUGCAAGGCAUCUUGUGGGUUGGAAAGAUAUUUUUUGGUUGGGGAUGGACUCGCGGCCUAUCAGCUUGUUGGUGAGGUAGUGGCUCACCAAGGCUUCGACGGGUAGCCGGCCUGAGAGGGCGACCGGCCACAUUGGGACUGAGAUACGGCCCAGACUCCUACGGGAGGCAGCAGUGGGGAAUAUUGCACAAUGGACGGAAGUCUGAUGCAGCAACGCCGCGUGCGGGAUGACGGCCUUUCGGGUUGUAAACCGCUUUGCAAUUGUGACGAAGCUUUUUGUGACGGUAGCAGUAGAAGAGCACCGCUAACUAA